ACUGUUUGUUUAUAUCAGAUUCUAUUAGAAGAAGUAUUAACGUGAGUGGGAAAGGCGUUUGUGAAAAUUUAAAUAGUGAGAAUUUAGAGAUUCUUUUGUAUGGUGUGAUAUGAAGGGAGAUAAUACCGGUAUACUAUAUAAAGUAUCACAUAGCUACAGUCAGUGAAUUCUCAUGAAAGCAAUACAGUUUGUGAUCUCCCCUCAUUGUUCUUCUCUUCUUACAACCAUAAAACUAUUCUUCUACCAGUGUAUAUUCAAUAUGGUCUCUGAGUUAUGUGUUUCAUUUGUUCUCCUAAAAUGAGUCUUAAUGCUCGCUAGGCAUGAUGACUGGAGAGUUAUAAAUCUGUGGUAGCAGAAAGAGCUGUGAAAUAUGAUAAGUGACAUGUUGUGACAGAUUGCUGGUAGAAUUUUGACAGUUUUCGUUUUGUUUUAUUUCUAUGAUUAUGGAUCUAAUUUAAAAAGAAGUGUUAAAAUAUAGAAAUAGUUUGUAGUACAAUUUUUAUAAAUGAUAUUUUGAUUAUUGGAUACAUUUUUGAAGUUUAGUUUGUAAAGGAUAUAAUAUCUAUUCAUAAGUCAUAAGGAUAGCUUGUUAAAGUAUAAUAAUUGAAAUGAUUAAAUGUUAGUUGAUAGCCUGUUACAUGUAAUAGGAAGACUGAAUGUAUAUAAAUAUUUAACUAAAUGACCAUGUGCUAAAUCCAGUUGACAGCUUGUCUUGUC